UACGGAGGGAGCGAGCGUUGUUCGGAAUUACUGGGCGUAAAGCGUAUGUAGGCGGUUUUGUAAGACAGAUGUGAAAUCCCAGAGCUUAACUUUGGAACUGCAUUUGUGACUGCAAGACUUGAGGAUCGGAGAGGUUGGCGGAAUUCCUAGUGUAGAGGUGAAAUUCGCAGAUAUUAGGAGGAACACCGAUGGCGUAAGCA
rnacentral:rRNA from 1 species